UACGUAGGUGACCAGCGUUGUCCGGAUUUACUGGGCGUAAAGGGUGCGUAGGCGGCGCGGUAAGUCGGGUGUGAAAUCUCGGAGCUUAACUCCGAAACUGCAUUCGAUACUGCCGUGCUUGAGGACUGGAGAGGAGACUGGAAUUUACGGUGUAGCGGUGAAAUGCGUAGAUAUCGUAAGGAAGACCAGUGGCGAAGGCGGGUCUCUGGACAGUUACUGACGCUGAGGCACGAAGGCCAGGGGAGCAAACGGG
rnacentral:rRNA from 1 species